rnacentral:rRNA from 1 species
UGGCGGACGGGUGAGUAAUGCUUAGGAAUCUGCCUAUUAGUGGGGGACAACAUCUCGAAAGGGAUGCUAAUACCGCAUACGUCCUACGGGAGAAAGCAGGGGACCUUCGGGCCUUGCGCUAAUAGAUGAGCCUAAGUCGGAUUAGCUAGUUGGUGGGGUAAAGGCCUACCAAGGCGACGAUCUGUAGCGGGUCUGAGAGGAUGAUCCGCCACACUGGGACUGAGACACGGCCCAGACUCCUACGGGAGGCAGCAGUGGGGAAUAUUGGACAAUGGGGGGAACCCUGAUCCAGCCAUGCCGCGUGUGUGAAGAAGGCCUUUUGGUUGUAAAGCACUUUAAGCGAGGAGGAGGCUACCGAGAUUAAUACUCUUGGAUAGUGGACGUUACUCGCAGAAUAAGCACCGGCUAACUCUGUGCCAGCAGCCGCGGUAAUACAGAGGGUGCAAGCGUUAAUCGGAUUUACUGGGCGUAAAGCGCGCGUAGGUGGCCAAUUAAGUCAAAUGUGAAAUCCCCGAGCUUAACUUGGGAAUUGCAUUCGAUACUGGUUGGCUAGAGUAUGGGAGAGGAUGGUAGAAUUCCAGGUGUAGCGGUGAAAUGCGUAGAGAUCUGGAGGAAUACCGAUGGCGAAGGCAGCCAUCUGGCCUAAUACUGACACUGAGGUGCGAAAGCAUGGGGAGCAAACAGGAUUAGAUACCCUGGUAGUCCAUGCCGUAAACGAUGUCUACUAGCCGUUGGGGCCUUUGAGGCUUUAGUGGCGCAGCUAACGCGAUAAGUAGACCGCC